GGGGAAUAUUGCACAAUGGGCGAAAGCCUGAUGCAGCAACGCCGCGUGAGUGAUGAAGGCCUUCGGGUUGUAAAGCUCUGUCUUUUGGGACGAUAAUGACGGUACCAAAGGAGGAAGCCACGGCUAACUACGUGCCAGCAGCCGCGGUAAUACGUAGGUGGCGAGCGUUGUCCGGAUUUACUGGGCGUAAAGGAUGCGUAGGCGGAUGUUUAAGUGAGAUGUGAAAUACCCGGGCUUAACUUGGGUGCUGCAUUUCAAACUGGAUAUCUAGAGUGCGGGAGAGGACAAUGGAAUUCCUAGUGUAGCGGUGAAAUGCGUAGAGAUUAGGAAGAACACCAGUGGCGAAGGCGAUUCUCUGGACCGUAACUGACGCUGAGGCAUGAAAGCGUGGGUAGCAAACA
rnacentral:rRNA from 1 species